GUUGUAGCUCAGUGGUAAAGCACUUGCCUCAUAUGUGUGAGGCACUGGGUUCAAUUCCUAGCACACA
rnacentral:tRNA from 1 species